AUUGAACGCUGCGGCAGGCUUAACACAUGCAAGUCGAGCGAGCGGCGGACGGGUGCGUAAUGCUUAUGCAUCUGCCUAUUAGUGGGGGACAACAUCUCGCACGGGAUGCUAAUACCGCAUACUCAUAGCUGAGCCUAAGUCGGAUUAGCUAGUUGGUGGGGUAAAGGCCUACCAAGGCGAAGAUCUGUAGCGGGUCUGAGAGGAUGAUCCGCCACACUGGGGCUGAGACACGGGCCAGAAGCCUACGGGAGGAAGCAGGGGGGAAGAUUGGACAAUGGGGGGAACCCUGAUCCAGCCAAGCCGGGGGUGGGAAAAAGGCCUUAUGGUUGGAAAGCACUUGAAGCGAGGAGGCGUUACUCGCAGAAGAAGCACCGGCUAACUCUGUGCCAGCCGCCGCGGUAAUUC
rnacentral:rRNA from 1 species